CAAGCCUAUAUUGAGCAGGUGAACAGUAAACCUUUUGCUUGUGUCUUCUUAAGUUACAGCAUUAACUUUCAAUAUAUUUGCUAAUUUCCAGCAUGGUGUGGUUAUGUCUUUUGCACAUAUUUUUUUCUCUCCUCUUUUUUGGUCCAGUCUUAUCUUUGCACAGCCUUGCCCUUUUAUUCCAGCUACCCCCAACUCUACAAGAAAAGAUAAUGUUAGACAUUUUGCAACUUUUCAUCAAUGAAUUGUGAGCGGCA
rnacentral:misc_RNA from 1 species